UGGGGAAUUUUUCGCAAUGGGGGAAACCCUGACGAAGCAACGCCGCGUGGAGGAUGAAGGCCUUCGGGUCGUAAACUCCUGUCGACCGGGACGAAAGCAGUCUGACCCAAUACGUCGGGCUGUCGACUGUACCGGUGGAGGAAGCCACGGCUAACUCUGUGCCAGCAGCCGCGGUAAUACAGAGGUGGCAAGCGUUGUUCGGAAUUACUGGGCGUAAAGGGCGCGUAGGCGGUCUUGCAAGUCCUGUGUGAAAUCCCUCGGCUCAACUGAGGAACUGCACAGGAAACUGCUUGGCUUGAGUUCGGGAGAGGGAAGCGGAAUUCCGGGUGUAGCGGUGAAAUGCGUAGAUAUCCGGAGGAACACCGGUGGCGAAGGCGGCUUCCUGGACCGACACUGACGCUGAGGCGCGAAAGCUAGGGGAGCAAACGG
rnacentral:rRNA from 1 species